rnacentral:misc_RNA from 1 species
GAUUGCUUCAAAUCAGAGAAUUUCUACGAAGCUUUUUGGCUUUCUAUUGAUACUUUGAUCAGUUAAAGUUUCAAAAGCAUCGAAGUUGCGUUUUGUUUUGUUUCAAUUUUGCUUUCCUUAGCUUUUGAAUUUGAAAUAGCCAGAAAUGCUCGAGCUUCGCGGUGAGCAAAAGACUAUGUUAACAUAAAGCUAACCGCCAUUGAAAUGUCAGCUUACGGAUUCAAGUUACAGGAUUUGAAGGAAAGUUGAAAGCUUAUAAUCGAAUCGUUUAUUUUAUAUUAUAUCAGUUUCAGGAUUUUCUUAUCAUAUACGAUUGUUUAUGCUACAAUGGCGCUCACUUUAGCUUCUGUUUUGUCGAAAUCGGAGGAAAUAGUAGGAUCGGAUCACUCAUCAGUGGUAUCGAUAAAUCUUUUUGUGGCACUUCUUUGCGCCUGUAUUAUAAUCGGUCAUUUACUAGAGGAGAACCGAUGGAUGAACGAGUCCAUCACGGCCCUUGCUAUUGGUCUGUGCACAGGGGUGGUUAUUUUGCUUACAACUGGAGGAAAGAGCUCACGUCUUUUAGUGUUUAGUGAAGAUCUAUUCUUUAUUUAUCUUCUUCCACCUAUUAUUUUUAAUGCUGGGUUUCAGGUGAAGAAGAAGCAAUUUUUCCGCAAUUUCAUGACUAUCAUUCUCUUUGGUGCAGUUGGUACUCUGAUAUCCACUGUUGUCAUAUCAAUAGGUGCUAUGCACUUCUUCAAGAAAAUGAACAUUGGUUCCCUUGACAUCAGAGAAUAUUGCUCCAAUAGCAAGAUAG